rnacentral:rRNA from 1 species
AUUGAACGCUGGCGGCAGGCCUAACACAUGCAAGUCGAGCGGAGCGGCUGACGGGUGAGUAAUGCCUUGGAAUCUGCCUGGUAGUGGGGGAUAACGUCCGGAAACGGGCGCUUAUACCGCAUCCUAUCAGCUUAGCCUCGGUCGGAUUAGCUAGUUUGUGGGGUAAAGGCCUACCACGGCGACGAUCCGUAACUGGUCUGAGAGGAUGAUCAGUCACACGGGAACUGAGACACGGUCCAGACUCCUACGGGAGGAAGCAGUGGGGAAUAUUGGAAAAUGGUCGAAAGCCUGAUCCAGCAAUGCCGGGGAUGUGAAGAAGGUCUUCGGAGUGUAAAGCACUUUAAGUUGGGAGGCGUUACCAAAAGAAUAAGCACCGGCUAACUUCGUGCCAGCAGCCGCGGUAAUAC